GAUAUUGGACAAGGGGGGGAACGCUGAUCCAGCCAUGCCGCGGGUAUGAAGAAGGGCUUCGGUUUGUAAAGCACUUUAUGUUGGGAGGAAGAGUUGGAGGCUAAUACCUUGCAAUUUUGACGUUACCAACAGAAUAAGCAACGGCCAACUUCCUGCCAGCCGCCGGCGUAAUACGAAGGGUGCAAGCGUUAAUCGGAAUUAUUGGGCGUAAAACGCGCGUAGGUGGUUGGUUAAGUUGGAAGUGAAAGCCCCGGGCUUAACCUGGGAAUUGCUUUCAAAACUGACGAGCUAGAGUACGGUAGAGGGUAGUGGAAUUUCCUGUGUAGCGGUGAAAUGCGUAGAUAUAGGAAGGAACAUCAGUGGCGAAGGCGACUACCUGGACUGAUACUGACACUGAGGUGCGAAAGCGUGGGGAGCAAACAGG
rnacentral:rRNA from 1 species